GUGGGGAAUAUUGGACAAUGGGCGCAAGCCUGAUCCAGCCAUGCCGCGUGAGUGAUGAAGGCCUUAGGGUUGUAAAGCUCUUUCAGUGGGGACGAUAAUGACGGUACCCACAGAAGAAGCCCCGGCUAACUUCGUGCCAGCAGCCGCGGUAAUACGAAGGGGGCUAGCGUUGUUCGGAUUUACUGGGCGUAAAGCGCACGUAGGCGGAUCGUUAAGUCGGGGGUAAAAUCCUGGAGCUCAACUCCAGAACUGCCUUCGAUACUGGCGAUCUUGAGUCCGGAAGAGGUGAGUGGAACUCCUAGUGUAGAGGUGGAAUUCGUAGAUAUUAGGAAGAACACCAGUGGCGAAGGCGGCUCACUGGUCCGGUACUGACGCUGAGGUGCGAAAGCGUGGGGAGCAAACAGGAUUAGAUACCCCGGUAGUCC
rnacentral:rRNA from 1 species